CCUACGGGAGGCUGCAGUGAGGAAUAUUGGUCAAUGGACGAGAGCCUGAACCAGCCAAGUAGCGUGAAGGAUGACUGCCCUACGGGUUGUAAACUUCUUUUAUAUGGGAAUAAAAUGUUCCACGUGUGGGAUUUUGUAUGUACUUUAUGAAUAAGGAUCGGCUAACUCCGUGCCAGCAGCCGCGGUAAUACGGAGGAUCCGAGCGUUAUCCGGAUUUAUUGGGUUUAAAGGGAGUGUAGAUGGAUUGUUAAGUCAGUUGUGAAAGUUUGCGGCUCAACCGUAAAAUUGCAGUUGAAACUGGCAGUCUUGAGUACAGUAGAGGUAGGCGGAAUUCGUGGUGUAGCGGUGAAAUGCUUAGAUAUCACGAAGAACUCCGAUUGCGAAGGCAGCUCACUGAACUGCAACUGACACUGAGGCUCGAAAGUGUGGGUAUCAAACAGGAUUAGAUACCCUAGUAGUC
rnacentral:rRNA from 1 species